rnacentral:tRNA from 1 species
GCCGGGGUGGUGAAAUUGGUAGACGCGCUGGACUCAAAAUCCAGUAUAGGUAACUAUGUGAGGGUUCGAUUCCCUCCCCCGGCA